GGUUGUACUCCCUGGCCAUAUACCUUGUAUCUUGUGAUUGUUUUAUGAGGAGUUUUACUAACAGUCUGUUUACCUUGUCUUAGGCACCUCAGCCUUGCUCCUUAUUGGAGAUCUCAAGAAAACCUCUGAUCACAGUCUGGACUCUGGAUUCAUUCCAUGCAGCAGGCCGGCCUGGAUACCUAUCUGUCUGGUUAAGCGAACCCUGUCCACCCUCCUACGGUUCCUCCUGGAUCAUCAAGAAGCCCCAAUGGAAUCAGCACUACCUCACUGUCCCAGACUCGCAGCCAUCUCCCCCCUGGCGGAUCGCCCCACCCGAAUAUCAGACAACCUUCCUGGAAACUUCGCUCCUUGUACAUUUCCCAAAUUGUUAAUACAUUCUUUAAACGUU